GCUCAGCAGUAGAGCACGUGCCUAGCAUUCACGAGGUCCUGGGUUCAAUCCCCAG
rnacentral:tRNA from 1 species